UACGUAGGGAGCUAGCGUUGUCCGGAAUCAUUGGGCGUAAAGCGCGCGUAGGCGGCCCGGUAAGUCCGCUGUGAAAGUCAAAGGCUCAACCUUUGAAUGUCAGCGGAUACUGCCGGGCUAGAGUCCGGAAGAGGCGAGUGGAACUCCUGGUGUAGCGGUGAAAUGCGCAGAUAUCAGGAAGAAUAUCCGUGGCGAAGGCGGCUCUCUGGUACGGCACUGACGCUGAGACGCGAAAGCGUGGGGAGCGAACAGG
rnacentral:rRNA from 1 species